rnacentral:rRNA from 1 species
UACCAGCACCUCGAGUGGUCAGGACGUUUAUUGGGCCUAAAGCAUCCGUAGCCGGCUUUGCAAGUCUUCGGUUAAAUCCACCUGCUCAACAGAUGGGCUGCUGGAGAUACUACAGAGCUAGGGAGUGGGAGAGGCAGACGGUAUUCAGUGGGUAGGGGUAAAAUCCUCUGAUCCAUUGAGGACCACCAGUGGCGAAGGCGGUCUGCCAGAACACGUUCGACGGUGAGGGAUGAAAGCUGGGGGAG